rnacentral:rRNA from 1 species
GACGAACGCUGGCGGCGUGCUUAACACAUGCAAGUCGAACGGAAAGGCCCUGCUUUUGUGGGGUGCUCGAGUGGCGAACGGGUGAGUAACACGUGAGUAACCUGCCCUUGACUUUGGGAUAACUUCAGGAAACUGGGGCUAAUACCGGAUAGGAGCUCCUGCUGCAUGGUGGGGGUUGGAAAGUUUCGGCGGUUGGGGAUGGACUCGCGGCUUAUCAGCUUGUUGGUGGGGUAGUGGCUUACCAAGGCUUUGACGGGUAGCCGGCCUGAGAGGGUGACCGGCCACAUUGGGACUGAGAUACGGCCCAGACUCCUACGGGAGGCAGCAGUGGGGAAUAUUGCACAAUGGGCGGAAGCCUGAUGCAGCAACGCCGCGUGCGGGAUGACGGCCUUCGGGUUGUAAACCGCUUUCGCCUGUGACGAAGCGUGAGUGACGGUAAUGGGUAAAGAAGCACCGGCUAACUACGUGCCAGCAGCCGCGGUGAUACGUAGGGUGCGAGCGUUGUCCGGAUUUAUUGGGCGUAAAGGGCUCGUAGGUGGUUGAUCGCGUCGGAAGUGUAAUCUUGGGGCUUAACCCUGAGCGUGCUUUCGAUACGGGUUGACUUGAGGAAGGUAGGGGAGAAUGGAAUUCCUGGUGGAGCGGUGGAAUGCGCAGAUAUCAGGAGGAACACCAGUGGCGAAGGCGGUUCUCUGGGCCUUUCCUGACGCUGAGGAGCGAAAGCGUGGGGAGCGAACAGGCUUAGAUACCCUGGUAGUCCACGCUGUAAACGGUGGGUACUAGGUGUGGGGUCCAUUCCACGGGUUCCGUGCCGUAGCUAACGCUUUAAGUACCCCGCCUGGGGAGUACGGCCGCAAGGCUAAAACUCAAAGGAAUUGACGGGGCCCCGCACAAGCGGCGGAGCAUGCGGAUUAAUUCGAUGCAACGCGUAGAACCUUACCUGGGUUUGACAUGGAUCGGGAGUGCUCAGAGAUGGGUGUGCCUCUUUUUGGGGUCGGUUCACAGGUGGUGCAUGGCUGUCGUCAGCUCGUGUCGUGAGAUGUUGGGUUAAGUCCCGCAACGAGCGCAACCCUUGUUCACUGUUGCCAGCACGUUAUGGUGGGGACUCAGUGGAGACCGCCGGGGUCAACUCGGAGGAAGGUGGGGAUGACGUCAAGUCAUCAUGCCCCUUAUGUCCAGGGCUUCACGCAUGCUACAAUGGCUGGUACAGAGAGUGGCGAGCCUGUGAGGGUGAGCGAAUCUCGGAAAGCCGGUCUCAGUUCGGAUUGGGGUCUGCAACUCGACCUCAUGAAGUCGGAGUCGCUAGUAAUCGCAGAUCAGCAACGCUGCGGUGAAUACGUUCCCGGG